CCUACGGGCGGCAGCAGUGGGGAAUAUUGGACAAUGGGGGCAACCCUUAUCCAGCCAUGCCGCGUGUGUGAAGAAGGCCCUCGGGUUGUAAAGCACUUUCAGUGAGGAAGAACGCCUGGUGGUUAAUACCCAUCAGGAAAGACAUCACUCACAGAAGAAGCACCGGCUAACUCCGUGCCAGCAGCCGCGGUAAUACGGAGGGUGCGAGCGUUAAUCGGAAUUACUGGGCGUAAAGCGCGCGUAGGUGGCUUGAUAAGCCGGUUGUGAAAGCCCCGGGCUCAACCUGGGAACGGCAUCCGGAACUGUCAAGCUAGAGUGCAGGAGAGGAAGGUAGAAUUCCCGGUGUAGCGGUGAAAUGCGUAGAGAUCGGGAGGAAUACCAGUGGCGAAGGCGGCCUUCUGGACUGACACUGACACUGAGGUGCGAAAGCGUGGGUAGCAAACAGGAUUAGAUACCCGAGUAGUC
rnacentral:rRNA from 1 species